UGUCUGGUGCCAGCAGCCGCGGUAAUUCCAGCUCUCAAGGUGUAUAUCGCCAUUGCUGCGGUUAAAAAGCUCGUAGUUGGAUCUGCGCCUUCGGACUCGGUCCUCCCAACGGGUGCGAACUGAGCUCCAAGGCUACUACUGCUGGUUUUUCCCUUGAUGCUCUUCACUGGGUGUCUUGGGUGGCUAGCGAGUUUACUUUGAAAAAAUUAGAGUGCUCAAAACAGGCUAUUGCCUGAAUACCGGUGCAUGGAAUAAUAGAAUAGGAUCUCGGUCCUAUUUUGUUGGUUUUCGGAACUGAGAUAAUGGUUAAGAGGGACAGACGGGGGCAUUCGUAUCGCUGCGUGAGAGGUGAAAUUCUUGGACCGCAGCGAGACGCCCAACUGCGAAAGCAUUUGCCAAGAAUGUCUUCGUUAAUCAAGAACGAAAGUCAGAGGUUCGAAGGCGAUCAGAUACCGCCCUAGUUCUGACCGUAAACGAUGCCAACUAGCGAUCCGCCGGUGGUAAUUACGCCCCGGCGGGGAGCUUCCCGGAAACGAAAGUCUUCCGGUUCCGGGGGAAGUAUGGUUGCAAAGCUGAAACUUAAAGGAAUUGACGGAAGGGCACCACCAGGAGUGGAGCUUGCGGCUUAAUUUGACCCAACACGGGAAAACUCACCCGGCCCGGACACCGUAAGGAUUGACAGAUUGAGAGCUCUUUCUUGAUUCGGUGGUUGGUGGUGCAUGGCCGUUCUUAGUUGGUGGAGCGAUUUGUCUGGUUUAUUCCGAUAACGAACGAGACUCUGGCCUACUAACUAGUGACAGAAUUAUUGCUGUUCUGGUUACUUCUUAGAGGGACAAGUGGUGUUCAGCCACACGAAAUUGAGCAAUAACAGGUCUGUGAUGCCCUUAGAUGUCCGGGGCUGCACGCGUGCUACACUGGAGGAAACAGCAUGCAAAACCAUUGCCGAGAGGCAUUGGUAAACCCGAGAAAAUCUUCCGUGAUCGGGAUCGGGAAUUGCAAUUAUUUCCCUUGAACGAGGAAUUCCCAGUAAGUGUGGGUCAUCAGCUCGCGCUGAUUACGUCCCUGCCCUUUGUACACACCGCCCGUCGCUGCCCGGGACUGAGCCGUUUCGAGAAAAGCGGGGACUGCUGCUGUUGGGGCUUUCGGGCCUUGGCUUCGGUGGAAACCGCUUUAAUCGCAGUGGCUUGAACCGGGCAAAAGUCGUAACAAGGUUUCCGUAGGUGAACCUGCGGAAG
rnacentral:rRNA from 1 species